ensembl:snoRNA SNORA56 small nucleolar RNA, H/ACA box 56
AUGCAGACAGUUAUCCCUUUCUAGCCUGAUACUUGUGGCUCUAGAGGGAGUCAGUCUGCUAAAUCAAGCAGGGGAAUCUCAGCCUUUAUCCAGCACAGCUGAGUGCUGAUGCAGACUUCAGGCUUCCCAUACACCA